AACAGGUGCUAAUACCGUAUAACAACAAAGACCGCAUGGUCUUUGUUUAAAAGAUGGUUCUGCUAUCACUUCUGGAUGGACCCGCGGCGUAUUAGCUAGUUGGUGAGGUAAUGGCUCACCAAGGCAAUGAUACGUAGCCGAACUGAGAGGUUGAUCGGCCACAUUGGGACUGAGACACGGCCCAAACUCCUACGGGAGGCAGCAGUAGGGAAUCUUCCACAAUGGACGAAAGUCUGAUGGAGCAACGCCGCGUGAGUGAAGAAGGUUUUCGGAUCGUAAAACUCUGUUGUUAGAGAAGAACGUGUGUGAGAGUAACUGUUCAUGCAGUGACGGUAUCUAACCAGAAAGCCACGGCUAACUACGUGCCAGCAGCCGCGGUAAUACGUAGGUGGCAAGCGUUGUCCGGAUUUAUUGGGCGUAAAGGGAACGCAGGCGGUUUUUUAAGUCUGAUGUGAAAGCCUUCGGCUUAACCGAAGUCAUGCAUUGGAAACUGGAAGACUUGAGUGCAGAAGAGGAGAGUGGAACUCCAUGUGUAGCGGUGAAAUGCGUAGAUAUAUGGAAGAACACCAGUGGCGAAAGCGGCUCUCUGGUCUGUAACUGACGCUGAGGUUCGAAAGCAUGGGUAGCAAACAGGAUUAGAUACCCUGGUAGUCCAUGCCGUAAACGAUGAAUGCUAAGUGUUGGAGGGUUUCCGCCCUUCAGUGCUGCAGCUAACGCAUUAAGCAUUCCGCCUGGGGAGUACGACCGCAAGGUUGAAACUCAAAGGAAUUGACGGGGGCCCGCACAAGCGGUGGAGCAUGUGGUUUAAUUCGAAGCAACGCGAAGAACCUUACCAGGUCUUGACAUCUUUUGCCAAUCUGAGAGAUCAGAUGUUCCCUUCGGGGACAGAAUGACAGGUGGUGCAUGGUUGUCGUCAGCUCGUGUCGUGAGAUGUUGGGUUAAGUCCCGCAACGAGCGCAACCCUUAUUACUAGUUGCCAGCAUUUAGUUGGGCACUCUAGUGAGACUGCCGGUGAUAAACCGGAGGAAGGUGGGGAUGACGUCAAAUCAUCAUGCCCCUUAUGACCUGGGCUACACACGUGCUACAAUGGACAGUACAACGAGUCGCAAGACCGCGAGGUCAAGCUAAUCUCUUAAAGCUGUUCUCAGUUCGGAUUGUAGGCUGCAACUC
rnacentral:rRNA from 1 species